UACGUAGGUGGCAAGCGUUGUCCGGAAUUAUUGGGCGUAAAGCGCGCGUAGGCGGCCCGAUAAGUCCGCUGUGAAAGUCAACGGCUCAACUGUUGGAUGCCGGUGGAUACUGUCGGGCUAGAGUACGGAAGAGGCAAGUGGAAUUCCUGGUGUAGCGGUGGAAUGCGCAGAUAUCAGGAGGAACACCUAUAGCGAAGGCAGCUUGCUGGGACGUUACUGACGCUAAGGCGCGAAAGCGUGGGGAGCGAACAGG
rnacentral:rRNA from 1 species